GGAUGUGAGGGUGAUCUGGCUGCGACAUCUGUCACCCCAUUGAUCGCCAGGGUUGAUUCAGCUGAUCUGGCUAGCUAGACAGGUGUCCCCUUCCUCCCUCACUGCUCCAGGUGUGUCCCUCCCGAAGCUGUGCGCUUGGUGGAAGAGGACAACCUUCCCCACUAGAGGAGGACCAGUUUUCGGUCAAGGGUAUACGAGUAGCUGCAUUCCCUUGCUAGAACCUCCAAACAAGCUCUCAAACACUCAUUCCUGGCCUUUGUACCCCCUGCCACCCAUCAGUGUUCCCUUUGCAAAGCUUGACUUCCAACAGACCUGGUU
rnacentral:sRNA from 1 species